UUGUCUAUGAGGGACAUGGUGGACCGGAGACGUCAAGAUUCGUUAACGAGAAUCUGUUUGCUAAUCUCAAGAGAUUUGCGUCUGAGGAUCAAGAUAUGUCUGCGAAUGUUAUCAAGAUAUAGCGUAACCGGUCUGACAUUCAAGAGGUGUAUUACAGUGAAGAGACACAUAAGUUUUCAGUGUCAGCAAUAGAGGAAAGUGUGAAGUUAGAAGGAAGAAUGACCUUUCCUCUUUGGACAGCACUUACAUAGUUGAUCAUGUGUUUUUCUGUGAACGGUUUUAUGAUCCCGAUAAGG